UGGGAAUAUUGCACAAUGGGCGAAAGCCUGAUGCAGCAACGCCGCGUGCGGGAUGACGGCCUUCGGGUUGUAAACCGCUUUCAGCAGGGACGAAGGUUUUCUGACGGUACCUGCAGAAGAAGCACCGGCUAACUACGUGCCAGCAGCCGCGGUGAUACGUAGGGUGCGAGCGUUGUCCGGAAUUAUUGGGCGUAAAGAGCUUGUAGGCGGUCCGUUGCGUCGGAAGUGAAAACUCAGGGCUUAACCCUGAGCCUGCUUUCGAUACGGGCGGACUUGAGGGAUGUAGGGGAGAACGGAAUUCCUGGUGGAGCGGUGGAAUGCGCAGAUAUCAGGAGGAACACCAGUGGCGAAGGCGGUUCUCUGGACAUUUCCUGACGC
rnacentral:rRNA from 1 species